rnacentral:rRNA from 1 species
CGAUUCUUGGUCAUUUAGAGGAAGUAAAAGUCGUAACAAGGUCUCCGUUGGUGAACCAGCGGAGGGAUCAUUACAGAGUGUAAAAACUCCCAAAACCCCUGCGAACAUACCAGUCGUUGCCUCGGCGGGACCGCCCCGGGCGCCAUCGCGUGCCCCGGAACCAGGCGCCCGCCGGGGGACUCAAACUCUUGUUUUCACCCCAGUGGCAUUAUCUGAGUGGGCUUUAAGCAAACAAAUGAAUCAAAACUUUCAACAACGGAUCUCUUGGUUCUGGCAUCGAUGAAGAACGCAGCGAAAUGCGAUAAGUAAUGUGAAUUGCAGAAUUCAGUGAAUCAUCGAAUCUUUGAACGCACAUUGCGCCCGCCAGUAUUCUGGCGGGCAUGCCUGUCUGAGCGUCAUUUCAACCCUCCCCGCGGCAUUCGUGUCGGGGGCUGGUUGGGGGGAUCGACAACCGCCCAACGGCGGACGUCGUCCCCUAAAGCCAGUGGCAGCCUCGCCGCGGCCUCCUCGCGCAGUAAUUACUUCUCGCGGGCGGAGCCACAGUGACGGAUCGCCGUAAAACCCCCAACUCUUCAAUGGUUGACCUCAGAUCANGUAGGAAUACCCGCUGAACUUAAGCAUAUCAAUAAGCGGAGGAA